rnacentral:rRNA from 1 species
GUGGGGAAUCUUCCGCAAUGGACGAAAGUCUGACGGAGCAACGCCGCGUGAGUGAAGAAGGUUUUCGGAUCGUAAAGCUCUUUCGUUAGGGACGAACGUGCUCUUUGUGAAUAAUGAGGAGUAAUGACGGUACCUAAAUAAGAAGCCACGGCUAACUACGUGCCAGCAGCCGCGGUAAUACGUAGGUGGCAAGCGUUGUCCGGAAUUAUUGGGCGUAAAGCGCGCGCAGGCGGGAUAUCAAGUCUGUCUUAAAAGUGCGAGGCUCAACCUCGGUAGGGGACAGAAACUGGUAUUCUUGAGUGUCGGAGAGGAAAGUGGAAUUCCAAGUGUAGCGGUGAAAUGCGUAGAGAUUUGGAAGAACACCAGUGGCGAAGGCGACUUUCUGGACAAUGUCUGACGCUGAGGCGCGAAAGCUAGGGGAGCGAACGGGAUUAGAUACCCCUGUAGUCC